rnacentral:rRNA from 1 species
CAGUCGCCGCGGUAAUACGUAGGGCGCAAGCGUUAUCCGGAAUUAUUGGGCGUAAAGAGCUCGUAGGCGGUUUGUCGCGUCUGCCGUGAAAGUCCGGGGCUCAACCCCGGAUCUGCGGUGGGUACGGGCAGACUAGAGUGAUGUAGGGGAGACUGGAAUUCCUGGUGUAGCGGUGAAAUGCGCAGAUAUCAGGAGGAACACCGAUGGCGAAGGCAGGUCUCUGGGCAUUAACUGACGCUGAGGAGCGAAAGCAUGGGGAGCGAACAGGAUUAGAUACCCCUGUAGUCCCUGUCUCUAUACA